AGUGAACGCUGGCGGUAGGCCUAACACAUGCAAGUCGAACGGCAGCACAGUAAGAGCUUGCUCUUACGGGUGGCGAGUGGCGGACGGGUGAGGAAUACAUCGGAAUCUACUUUUUCGUGGGGGAUAACGUAGGGAAACUUACGCUAAUACCGCAUACGACCUACGGGUGAAAGCAGGGGAUCUUCGGACCUUGCGCGAUUGAAUGAGCCGAUGUCGGAUUAGCUAGUUGGCGGGGUAAAGGCCCACCAAGGCGACGAUCCGUAGCUGGUCUGAGAGGAUGAUCAGCCACACUGAAACUGAGACACGGUCCAGACUCCUACGGGAGGCAGCAGUGGGGAAUAUUGGACAAUGGGCGCAAGCCUGAUCCAGCCAUACCGCGUGGGUGAAGAAGGCUUUCGGGUUGUAAAGCCCUUUUGUUGGGAAAGAAAAGCAGCAGGUUAAUACCCCGCUGUUCUGACGGUACCCAAAGAAUAAGCACCGGCUAACUUCGU
rnacentral:rRNA from 1 species